AAAACCCAUUGCUUAUGGUGGCAACAAAUUGUCCUUCUAUCCCUCUUCACUGUUGGGUGUCCUCUGAAUUCCUCCAGAGUGGCUGCUACCCCAGGGGCUGGCAGCUCUGCCGUCUCAUUCUGGGGAAUGUCUGAAGUGUAUUGAUUUUCAGACACUUCAAGGGAAGCUUGAUCUUCAGCCUUACACCUGGGGCCUUUGCUCAGUUUCAUUCUAGCUGAAGAGGAUUAGACCUGGGACUUGAAGAACAGAGGAGUAUACUGAAAGGUGGCAUCUGUCCCCUUGUGGGAGGGAGGCAGACCUGUAUGGAUGGAUCCUCUCUUGGAAAAAUGUCAAAGUAUGUGUCAUAUUUAACAUGAAGGCAGGGUUAGGCAUCCUGACUCACGUCUGAUCUUACCAACUGAGAAGAAGGGGCUCCCACCCUUUCAUUAUUCAAUUUUCCAAUAAAUAUUUAUUGAAAGCUCUACCAGGCAGGGUUUCUAGUUGCAAACAGCAAAAAAUGUACUCCGCUUAAUGUAAGCCGAAAGAGAAUGUAUUAGACCUGAUAGCUUAGAGAAUCAACAGGAAAGUAGGAGAACUCGGCUCCAAAACAAGAAAGGGCCAUGAGAAAAGGGACAAUAGAAACAAACUGCCACCCUUGUCACUAAUUCCCCACUCGCCUGGGGCUUUGCUGUGCUCAGAGCUGCAGUCCCUGGAAGGGGUUGUAACUGGCAAAUUUGGUCACAGUCCUGUGCCCAGGCUGCCUGGGAAAGGAAAUGUCUAUCACCUGUUGGCUUCUUUAGUUGGAGGUCGAGCCUUGUGUCACACCAGAGUCUCACACAACCAGGAGUGCCCCCAAAAUGGGAAGAGAUUUUGGAUGAUGACUAGCCAAAAAAUGACAAUUGUCUACUGCUUUGGGAUUAAGCACCCUACAUGGCCAGGCUCUGGGAUGCACAGAUGGAUGUGACAUGCUUCCUGCCAUCACACAGAUCAUGGUGUACACAGGGUUACCGUACUGUGGAGCAGGGUAAGCUGUGGUCCCUGACAGAGCCACUGGAGGGGUGUCUCACUGUCAAAGGUUGACUCCCAGCUGGGGCACGAGGACCUGAGAAGGCAGUGGUGCCUUUUGCUGAAGCAUGGGCCACAGAAAAGGUAACAGGUUUGAGGUGAAAGAUGAUAAUGUCACUUAGGUAUCUAAGUUCCCUGUGGCUUUCACCUGGAGAGCUGAAUGAGGAAGAACAAAAGAGAGCUGGGCUGUGCCAAGGGCUGUCACGGGGGAGCAGGGUCUCCAGCUUUGGAACCAUCCAGGGCUCUGUUGAUAGCAGCAUCCAUGUUGAGUGAGAGAUGGUGGGAAAGGAAACGGGAUUCCCUACCCUAAAAAAUGUGUGUCAUGAUGACUUAUGGUCUUCGUUCACUUGUUACCUGGAGUGCCUGGAGAUGGAGGAGGUAGUAUGCUGUGCUGAGUGCAAAGGGGAUCUGGCCUACAGCUGCAGGCCCAGGGCUGAACUCCCACAGCUCCCUUGCUGCGGAGCUGAAACCUAGCAUGUGAUGUGGUACCCUUUCUUCAAGAGAGACAGGCCCUUCCUUGGAGCAGGAUGGCAGUGGAAUGCUACCAGCUGCACCCCCGCACAUGUACCCUGGGUCUGCCUGGGGUCUCUUUGUUCCUUUUUCCCUCUUGGAGGGAAAACCACCAAGGAUAGCAGCAGUGAUACCAUGUUCAUUCUCCUGUUAGGUGACACUGCUGAGUGUGGAGAUGACUGCCCUAAAAGAGGAGAGAGACCGACUCAGAGUCACAUCUGAGGACAAGGAGCCAAAGGAGCAGCUUCAGAAGGCCAUCAAGGACCGUGACGAGGCCAUGGAAGAACGCUGUGGAGCUGGAACUCGCCAAGUGCAGGAUGGAUAUGAUGUCUCUGAACAGCCAGUUGCUGGAUGCCAUUCAGCAGAAACUGAACCUCUCGCAGCAGCUGGAAGCUUGGCAGGAUGACAUGCACAGGGUCAUUGACCGGCAGCUGAUGGACACGCACCUGAAGGAACGGAGCCAGCCAGCUGCUGCCCUCUGCAGGGGCCACAGCGCUGGGCGGGGGGAUGAGCCCAGCACCGCUGAAGGCAAACGACUCUUCUCAUUCUUCAGGAAAAUUUAAGUUGGGAGGAGUGAGGCCACCAAAGAUGGGUGGACCGGAGGCAGCUGGAAAAGCAGUGCUGGCGAGGCCUCCCCUGCGGCUCGCACCUCAGCAGCUGCCCUCCCCCUCAUGCUGGGGCCCCAUGGGUCUGGGAGGGCCUGCUCCCUUUCAUUGGUGAGAAUGGAGACCUAGAGGUGGGGGCCUGCCUUGGCCACUGAAGGCUUCCCUCGGCCCACCGCCUGGCCAAGCCCACGCCUGGGCUUCUCCAGGAUCCCCUGCUUGAGCAGGGUUAGGCCACCUCCCAGAGGGCCCCUUGGUGUUGGGCUUUGCUGCUCAUCCCUAACAGAUCGCAGCCCACCCCCAGGCACUGCUGCCUCCUCUAUUUUAGCAAAUGGGGAACAGAAGGAAUGGAGGCCCUUCUCUGCAUGCCUCAGGAGGCCCGAGCCCCGGGGGCCUAGUCCUGUGGGGGCAGUGGGCCAGGCCUAAGCCUCCAUUCCUUCCCCAGCCCCUGGCCCAGGGUCGAAGGGGAGAUGGCAGCCCCUCCCCUGCGUGCAUGCACCUCGGCUGGCAGGAGGCCAAGCCUCUGGCCGCAAGGUCUAAGAGCUGGCGCUUACCCAAGCUCAGCUGAGGCCACCCGAGCCCCAGGGAGGAAGAAGGCCCUGUCCCCCGGUCGCCACUGCUCUCCCUCCCAGCCUCCAGUCUCUGCCCCUUAGCAGGGCCGGGCCAGGCAGAAUGUUGUCACCAGUCAUCUGCAGGCUUUAGCCAUCCAACCCUUUCCCCUGCUCAGGGCUGGGGCUGGAUGGGGUCUCCUCCUCCCACAGUUCCCUCCUCCACUCCUCACAUACAUAUCUUUUUGGCCCAGCCAAACAAGCCCAGGCCACAGAAUGGAACCAGAGGGGUCUGGUCAGCCACCCCACCUUGAGGGCAGCACAGGCACCACAGGGUGGAGGAGAGGGGGAAGCUGCUGGAAGCCUCCAGAUGCCUGCUGGCCUGCAGGAGAAACCUGUAGCAGCUGCUGCUCCUGCCUCUGCAGCUGCCCCACCUCUUCCACCCAGGCCCCAACUCAGAGGCUCCGCAGCCGGCCAGCCCUCAGCUGCUCACAACUGAUUCAGUCUCCCUCCCUCACAUGGGGAAAGCACAGCAGGGAUGCGCGGCAAGAAUGUACCUGUAGAUGUGUACAUACCACAGUGCUGUAAUUUUGUAUGUAGCAAUCAUGUAAAUACAUGUAUGGAUUUUAUAAUAUACAUAUAUAAAAAUUAUAAAGGCAUAUUUUUAGAAAAACAGCACACCACUGCUUCUUUUGAAAAUAGUCCGAAUAAGAAUAAAAUGAAUUUCUAC
ensembl:lncRNA